GUGCCAGCAGCCGCGGUAAUACGUAUGUCCCGAGCGUUAUCCGGAUUUAUUGGGCGUAAAGCGAGCGCAGACGGUUUAUUAAGUCUGAUGUGAAAGCCCGGACGCUCAACUCCGGAAUGGCAUUGGAAACUGGUUAACUUGAGUGCAGUAGAGGUAAAGUGGAACUCCAUGUGUAGCGGUGGAAUGCGUAGAUAUAUGGAAGAACACCAGUGGCGAAGGCGGCUUACUGGACUGCAACUGACGUUGAGGCUCGAAAGUGUGGGUAGCAAACCAGGAUUAGAUACCCUGGUAGUCC
rnacentral:rRNA from 1 species